UAUGUAGUAAUGUAUGUAUUGUAUUGGUAAUGGUAUUUGCUUUGGAAGCUGCUUUUUACUCCACUCUUUUCCACCAUACUUGUUUUUUCUCCUCAAGACUCAUUUCUUUGUCUGCCAUUGCAAAGCUCUCUAAUUUAGACAUUGAGGCGCGUGGAGGAAUCUCGUGCUCCUUUCUGCUCUUCUCUUGUCUUGAAAGCUUUUAGCUCAACAACGUUUAACAGUGGGAGCUAAAUACCUGAGAAUUAAUUUCACUGAUAAGUGUCUCCUGACUCCUCUCCUCUUUUCUUCGUUUUCUAAAGUAGUUUCUAAAGUUGUCGUAGCUGAUCUCUGUGUCUUAUAGGUUUCUUUCUUUCGGAAGCCAAAUUUCCUCUUUUCUGGAUAAUAUUUUAAGGCAAAAACCAAUUCUUAACUUGUUUAAGAGAUCAACUUUCCUACCCAGGAGUAAAAAAUUGUAAGCUUGGAUAUAGUAGUCGCAGAAGAAGUUGUCAUGUUUCUUUUGGGGUACUCAGCUGAUAAAAUUAAGUACCCACUAGAAGGAGCUCUUGCAGAAGCCAGCAGGUUAAGAAAUUGGAGAGCUUAAUUUGACUUGAGGGGUUCUCUGGGGGUCUCGAGUUUACGCAAUUGCCGUGUCUUCUUUUGUUGUUUAGUACAGGAAGGCGUGCAGAGAAGCAUUCAAAUUAAGGUAGCCUGGUCUGGUCGGUAUUCGAUAAUCUGCAGUAACUGCUCACUUCCCCAAUUAGCUCCUGGAUUUCGGAUUCUUGACUUCGGAUCUACACAAUUCUUGAAAGCUGAAUUUUCUCAAACUUAACCGGCGAAAUAAAGAUUUUCACUCUUUCCUAUUUCUUUUACAAAGGUGAAUGAUCGAAGAUUUCUUUUUUUGAGCAAAUUAAGUUAAACGAAGAGAGCUAGCUGCUUAAUUAUAUAUAUUGGUUCAGUUGUGUAGUACUCGCUUGAGAAAUUAUCGUAAGGAUCAAAGGGCAGGCAGCUACGGAGCCACAGCAAAACAGAAAGCUGGCAAAUAAGUGGUGGGAGAGAUUAGAUGUGGUUGCGAUGGCGGGGUAUGAAGCAGCAGGCCCAGGUUCUCGCUACGGCCAGCAACCCUUUAGACCAGAACUGCAUCUCCAAAUGCCAUCUCUAACCCCACCCUCCGAUGAUUCCAGAGACUCACAAGACAACGAUCCAAAUAAUCCGGAUUUGUCUGAUGCUGCGGCCGCUACCAGCUCUGGAGGCCCCACACGCCGCCCCCGCGGCCGCCCUGCUGGAUCCAAAAACAAACCCAAACCUCCUAUCAUAGUAACUCGAGACUCCCCUAAUGCCCUUCGAUCCCAUGUUCUAGAAAUCUCUUCUGGCGCCGACAUCGUGGACAGCCUCUCCAAUUAUGCUAGAAGAAGAGGAAGAGGAAUCUGCGUACUCAGCGGAAGUGGGACAGUUGCUAAUGUUAGUCUGCGCCAACCUGCUUCUCCUCCAGCAAGUGUACUCACUUUACAUGGUAGGUUUGAGAUACUUUCGCUCUGUGGGAAAGUGCUCCCUCCUCCGGCGCCUCCUGGUGUCGGCGGACUAUCAAUCUUUUUGUCAGGUGGACAAGGACAGGUGGUUGGGGGCAGGGUGGUGGGCCCGCUUGUGGCUUCAGGUCCUGUUGUUUUGAUGGCUGCAUCAUUUGCCAAUGCAGUGUUUGAGAGGUUACCUCCGGACGAGGAGGAGGAGGGGACGGUGCAGGUUCAGCCCACGGGGUCUCAGUCUUCAGGAGUGACUGGAAGUGGACAGCUCCCUGAUGGCGGAGGAACCAGCAGUGCUGCUGCUAGUGCUACUGCCGGAUCCCUUUUCAUCAUGGGAGGGAGUGGGCCGAAUUACCCUUUUUCAGGUGACUUAUUUGGGUGGGGUAGUGGAACAACUGCUAGGCCUCCAUUCUAGCUAGCUUGGUGAUUACCGAUUUAAAGCCAAGGCUUGGGGUAUUGAGAGAUUUUGAAUGCUAUUUCCCCCUCACUCUCAAGAGAUUUUCUUUUAUUCUAUGCUUUCUUUGAAUAAUUUACGAGGAGGAGAUGAUGAUAGGAAGAGAUGUAAAGAGUUGGCAGCUACAACAAUUGUCCUGCUCGUAUAUAUAAACACUUAUAUACAUAUAUACAUAUAUACAGGGAGAGAGAGAGGCAGAAGGGAAAGACAAAGUUAGUCCUCUCAGCAAUCAUCAGCACUAAAUUGAUCAGAAGUAGACAUGAAAGGGCUUCAAUCUGUGAUGCAUGCUUGGGACUUUUUGAAACUGAUGAACACCAAACCCAGCUUGGAGCAAUGGAGCCAGCGAUCUUGAGUGUGUUGGCAGUUUCACAUGCAUGGGCAUGACCCAUGUACUACAUAUCCUUUACUCUUCCUUAGUAAUAAGGGAGUGGUCAAAUUGUGGACUCAACUCGAGGGCGGUAAGAAUGGAAAAGCAAUGAGCAAAGUGUACACAUAGGAAUACGUUACUCCAUCGUCUACCCAAUAAUCCCAGUUCUGCAACCUGGCCGCUGCCUACUCUUUGCUUUCUUUUCCGAAAUUCUUUUAAUUUCUAGAGCACGGCAGCUUGGAAUAUACCUUUAUAACAAGGGUUAGAAAUGGUGGACAGCACUCCUGUAUAACAAUAACAUGGGUUACAUUACAUUUGUAAAUGCAUCAUUUCAUACAUUGUUAUUUAA